UACGUAGGUGGCAAGCGUUGUCCGGAUUUACUGGGCGUAAAGAGCGCGCAGGCGGUCUUUUAAGUCGAAUGUGAAAGCCACCGGCUCAACUGGGGAGGGUCAUUCGAUACUGAUCGACUUGAAGGCAGGAGAGGGUAGUGGAAUUCCCGGUGUAGUGGUGAAAUGCGUAGAUAUCGGGAGGAACACCAGUGGCGAAGGCGGCUUUCUGGACGGUAAAUGACGCUGAGACGCGAAAGCGUGGGGAGCAAACAGG
rnacentral:rRNA from 1 species